rnacentral:rRNA from 1 species
UACGAAGGGGGCUAGCGUUGCUCGGAAUCACUGGGCGUAAAGCGCACGUAGGCGGAUCUUUAAGUCAGGGGUGAAAUCCUGGAGCUCAACUCCAGAACUGCCUUUGAUACUGGGGAUCUCGAGUCCGGAAGAGGUGAGUGGAACUCCGAGUGUAGAGGUGAAAUUCGUAGAUAUUCGCAAGAACACCAGUGGCGAAGGCGGACUCACUGGCCCGGUACUGACGCUGAGGUGCGAAAGCGUGGGGAGCAAACAGG